rnacentral:miRNA from 1 species
GGUCUCACUAUGCUGUUCAGGUUGGCCUUGAGCUCACUCUGUAGCCCAAGCUGGCCUCGAACUCACAGUGAUUCUCCUGCCUCUGCCUCCAGAGUGCUGGGAUUACAGGCAUGCGCCACCAUGCCCG